rnacentral:rRNA from 1 species
AGUGAACGCUGGCGGUAGGCCUAACACAUGCAAGUCGAACGGCAGCACAGAGGAGCUUGCUCCUUGGGUGGCGAGUGGCGGACGGGUGAGGAAUACAUCGGAAUCUACUCUGUCGUGGGGGAUAACGUAGGGAAACUUACGCUAAUACCGCAUACGACCUACGGGUGAAAGCAGGGGACCUUCGGGCCUUGCGCGAUUGAAUGAGCCGAUGUCGGAUUAGCGAGUUGGCGGGGUAAAGGCCCACCAAGGCGACGAUCCGUAGCUGGUCUGAGAGGAUGAUCAGCCACACUGGAACUGAGACACGGUCCAGACUCCUACGGGAGGCAGCAGUGGGGAAUAUUGGACAAUGGGCGCAAGCCUGAGCCAGCCAUACCGCGUGGGUGAAGAAGGCCUUCGGGUUGUAAAGCCCUUUUGUUGGGAAAGAAAUCCAGCUGGCUAAUACCCGGUUGGGAUGACGGUACCCAAAGAAUAAGCACCGGCUAACUUCGUGCCAGCAGCCGCGGUAA